UGUCAGGUAGCUCAGUGGUCUAGAGCAGUCGCCCGCCAAGCGAAAGACUCGGGUUCAAUUCCCCGGCCUAGCGA
rnacentral:tRNA from 1 species